GAGCAAGAGCAUCUAUUGCAAAAAUCAAGGGUGCAUCUUGCCUUGAGAAUUGGCGAAAAUAACUGGCGAUUCUCCGUGCCUAUCAAAUUGAUUUUAUACCAUUUUGAUGAUGGCCUUGAACAAGUCGCAACUUC